CCGGCAGUGGCUUGUGGAAGCGCUGUCGCUCAACGGAUAAAAGGUACCCCGGGGAUAACAGGCUGAUCUUCCCCAAGAGUCCAUAUCGACGGGAUGGUUUGGCACCUCGAUGUCGGCUCGUCGCAUCCUGGGGCUGGAGUCGGUCCCAAGGGUUGGGCUGUUCGCCCAUUAAAGCGGUACGCGAGCUGGGUUUAGAACGUCGUGAGACAGUUCGGUCCCUAUCCGCUGUGCGCGUAGGAAUAUUGAGAAGGGCUGUCCCUAGUACGAGAGGACCGGGACGGACGAACCUCUGGUGUGCCAGUUGUUCUGCCAAGGGCAUGGCUGGUUGGCUACGUUCGGAAAGGAUAACCGCUGAAAGCAUCUAAGCGGGAAGCCUGCUUCGAGAUGAGUGUUCCCACCACCUUGAGUGGUUAAGGCUCCCAGUAGACGACUGGGUUGAUAGGCCAGAUGUGGAAGCCCGGUAACGGGUGGAGCUGACUGGUACUAAUAGGCCGAGGGCUUGUCCUCAGUUG
rnacentral:rRNA from 1 species